UACGUAGGAGGCAAGCGUUGUCCGGAAUCACUGGGCGUAAAGGGCGCGUAGGUGGCGACCCAAGUCAGUGGUGAAAGCUCGACGCUCAACGUCGAGUCGGCCACUGAGACUGGGUGGCUGGAGCACUGUAGAGGCAGAUGGAAUUCCGGGUGUAGCGGUGGAAUGCGUAGAGAUCCGGAAGAACACCGGUGGCGAAGGCGGUCUGCUGGGCAGUGGCUGACACUGAGGCGCGACAGCGUGGGGAGCAAACAGG
rnacentral:rRNA from 1 species